rnacentral:rRNA from 1 species
GAUCGAACGGCGUAGCGACAGGCUUAACACAUGCAAGUCGAGGGGCGAGCGGGGGUAGACGAAUACCCCGCCGGCGACCGGCGCACGGGUGAGUAACGCGUAUGCAACUUGCCUAUCAGAGGGGGAUAACCCGGCGAAAGUCGGACUAAUACCGCAUGAAGCAGGGGCCCCGCAUGGGGAUAUUUGCUAAAGAUUUAUCGCUGAAAGAUGGUCUCGCGUCUGAUUAGCUAGUUGGUGAGGUAACGGCUCACCAAGGCGACGAUCAGUAGCCGGUCUGAGAGGAUGAACGGCCACAUUGGGACUGAGAUACGGCCCAG